UCGAACUCACAGCGAUCCUCCUGCUUCAGUCUCCUGAGUGCUGGGAUUACAGCCAUGUGCCACCAUGCCCGGCAGAGAUGCAGAUUUGAGACUUCCAGAUGAAAUGAUAGAAUAAAGUAAAAAUCAAAGACACUAUUUCUCUGAAAUCAAUCCAGAUGGGCCAUGAUUGCAACCAAACUCCCUUCCGGCCUGCUAGGAUGCUGACUUCCAUCAUCAGGAUAUUUACUCGGCUCCUUACUUCCCUGCUACACCCAGGCCACGAGGAAGUUCCCAGGAAGUAGCUGUUUCAUCCGGAAGAAAUUGGUCAUCUUUUCCUUCAUCAGCUGACAACCUGGCUAGGACUUUAUAAGAUGGAUGGGAUUCUACAUCUUCCAUCUACUUUAAUAUGAUCUCAAAUUCCUGCCUAAUAUGCCUUCCCUCAGGAAUGCACUGGGGAGGUGGCCUCUCCCGCCAAGCUCGUCUUUGAAUACCGGCACAGCCGCAGUCACGGCAAUGUCAUACAGAAGCUUGUCCAAUAGUCUUGAGUUUCUAAAUCCAGAAACAGGUAGAAAGCAAACUCUCUCCUCUUCUUACAGCUUAGACCUAGGUGUCCCCCCGAAACUUCAUGUGCUCAUAGACAGGGCUUUUGAAAGAUGACUGAAUUUUGGAGUGCUGUAGCUGAUUUGCUGUUGGGGAUAGGAUCCGGUCCGAAGAGGUGGGUCGCUGUGGGUGGACCUGGAAAGGGUUAUCUCCCUUUCCAGCUUCUCCUGUGACUCUCUGUGCUUCCCAGUCGCCAUGAAGUGAGCAGCUUGUUCUCCACCAUGCCCUUCGCCAUCCGUCCUGCCUUGGUGCUAACCAAAUAUGAAAUCAAAAUACAGCUCCAAAUAAAACCCUCCUCCUUUGA